GUCCGUGAACUGAGGGGAAAUAGUCUCCCCCUUCAGAUCCGGCGGCGGCAUUGCCGCUUUAUCACAACACUGCAAGGAG
ncrna:unclassified sequences L20-Deltaproteobacteria ribosomal protein leader